AGUAGAGACAGGUCCAGGAGCAUCUGUAUUUAUUGGGUAUAGGUUGGGGGCAGGGUAGUGAGUGAGGUUAACUUAAGGAUAGUGAUAGGGUCAAGAUAAUCACGUGUGUGAUAAGCAAAGGGUCCACCCGCAUUAGGUCACCGAGGCAAGGAGGUGGGCCGUGCACAGCGAAGAGGGUGCAGUG